rfam:Desulfotomaculum nigrificans CO-1-SRB chromosome, complete genome.
GCCCGGGUGGCGGAAUAGGCAGACGCACAGGACUUAAAAUCCUGCGGGUAGCGAUACCCGUGCCGGUUCGACCCCGGCUCCGGGCA